rnacentral:lncRNA from 1 species
AUUGCUGUAGUCUCUAUUGCAUUUCUAUUAAAGUUAUGGAAAUAAAACCGUAAUUACACUAAAUCAAAAUAUGAUGGUAGAUAUUAUAAAAAUCUGAUAAAAAGCAGAUCUUUGCAAUAACAUACUAAAACCCAAACAUGGGGAAAAGAAAAACUACAGAAGCCACUCCUUCCAUUCCCCAUGAAUUUAUUUCUCAAACUUCCACACUUCACACAUUUCAUCAAACACAAACUUUUUACUUUUUUUAUUAUUUCAUCCCAUAUUCCACACCUUGUCUUAUGGUUUUGCACCCUCUACUACUUCACCAGCGUACCUGCAGCACCUGUACACGCAUGGACCAUAUGUGCAACCUCUGCCGUAGCCACCACUAUAGCCACCAAGACCGAAGUCAUCACGACCAUAGCCACCACGAUGCUAACCACCACCACCGCUGUAGAUUUUGUCGUUCCGUCCUCCAUACUUAGCAUCCUCUACGCCAUUGGUUUCCACUGUGGCCUCUGCAAUGAAGGCGAGAAGAAGGCCGAGGAAAACAAAGGCUUUUGAACUCAUGUUUGUGUUUAAUAAGAGAUUGCUUUUGGGAGAUAUGGAUGAGAAAGAUUUGAAUUCUUAUGGUAUUUAUUGGUACAUAAAAGAGAAAGGGAGAUGAGAAUAUUGAGACAAUUGCAAUUAAAGACUGGCCCGUAAUUUAGUUGGGCAUUAGAUGAACUGAUUGAGAAGUAUUCUGAAAUGAAGAAGGAAAUUAAAAUUUGAGUCAGCUCUCUUAAAUAAUCUUUAUCGUUUAAAUGAUUUGUAAUUAGUCAAACUCUUUAGUAGUGUGACUGUAUCAAACUCCAAGAGCUUCUUUUAGCCAAUUAUCAAUAAUAAUAAUAAAUAUAAUUCUGGAAAAACAAUUUCUAGCAUGCUUUCAUUUUCUAUUCCUAAACUUGGUAAACAAAAUUCUUUGUCUUAAAAAUUAAAACUAAUAUUUUCAUAAAUUAUUUAGCAAAGUUGUUGGAAUAUGGACUGGUUUAUGAUUGUACCAAACAGCAAAAACAAGUUACAAACUACGAACCCAACUAUAUCGUUUAGAAACUGAGAGACCCACGUGGCGGAUGUUGCCUCACCCAAAAGCCACCGGAAAUUGCCUUCACUGGAGACCCACAUGUCGAACAACCAACUGCAAACCCCAAGAACAACCACGGCUGAAACAACCUCUCUGAUGGCUCGAACCCACUGCUAAACCAGCCGCCACACCGCGCGAAAUCCGCCGGUAGAACAUGGAAACUCGCCGACGUUAAAGCUCAGUCAGACGCCGUACUGCCCGAAAAACGAGACCGAAACGCGGAUGCUAAAGCUCUCUCCUCACCGGAAAACGCCCGACCCGACGAAGAACCUCAGAAUCUCCGUCGCGUGGCCGUCCGGUAAACGCCAUCAACGUCAACCCGUUCACCGUCGGCCCCUGCUCUUCUCUCUACUGUGUUUGUAGAAGAAACUUCAACUUUCCUCUCUCUCUAUUCUUGUGUAUUGCGGCAACCCCUCACCUCUCUCCUUUUCUUUUCACUGUAUUAAAAAUGGCAAGUGAUGUGAAUAAUUGCAAAAAUGUGUUCUUGUUAUUCCGCCAUCAACAAAACUAAAAAAACUUUGUUUAUUAAGAAAAUAAAUAAUCCACGUUGUUUAUUUCUUACAUUCUUUCAUAUUUCUUUAAUAAAAUAAGAGAACUUUUCUUUAUGUAUCACGGUGAAGAUAGAUAUUGUAUUAAGAAAAAUAUAUUUCUUAAUGAUCAUUUAUCAUGACCAUCAAGAAAUUAAAAAAUUGUGUUCCAAACCCUACAUCUCUCUUAAUGCAUCCUCUUUCACAAAUACUUCCGUUCCAAAAUAAUUACAGUCUGAGAAAAGUUUAGAGAGUAAAAACAAUUUCUCUCUCAAACAUUAAACCAAUAUAUAUAAAUGAUCCAUACAUAUAUAUAUGUGGAAAGUUCAAUAUGAAAUAUGUUAACAGUAUUGGUAAAAAUACUAUAUAUGGAUGGUCGUAAAAGAAAUACGUACUUUUUAAAAGUUGAACUUCCUCUUCAUCUCUGAUUGGAGAUAUUUGUUGAAAACUCCAAUAACACCUCAAAAUAAUAAUAGUAAUAAUUAUUACUAUUAUUAUUAUUACUAUUAUUGCGUAGGAUAGAACACCAUGAAAUGUUGAUAAAUUUAUUUAAUUGUGUCCUUGUCACUUGUCAGUACCACCAUAAACUUUAGAUAAUGCAGGCUGAGCAAACAUUUUUUUACUUUCUUUUCUCAUUUGUAUGCAAAAUAUAUUGCCACCAUAUAUCGUUUUGACUAAAGACGAAAGAAAGCGUGUAUACCUUAACUAUUAAAAUUUAUGUUCAAGUUAUGGAAAUAAAACCCUUAAUUACACAAAAUGAAAAUAUGUUUGUUGAUAUUAUAAAAUUUUACAAAAACCAAAUCUUUGCAAUAACAUACUAAAACCCAAACAUGGGGAAAAAGAAAAACUACAGAACCCACUCCUUCCAUUCCCCAUCUAUUUAUUUCUCAAACUUCUACCGUUCACACAUUUAACCAAACACACAAACUUUAAACCUUUUUAUUAUUUCAUCCCAUUCUACACCUUCUCUUAGGGUUUUGCACCCUCUACCACUUCACCAGCGUAGCUGCAGCACUUGUGCCCACAUCGACCAUAUCGGCAACCUCUGCCGUAGCCACCACGGCCACCACCAUAGCCUCCACGGCCACCGUAAUGACCACGACCAUACCCACCACGACCACCGCCAUAGCCUCUGUCGUACCCACCGCCAUAGCCUCUGUCGUACCCUCCACCAUAGCCUCUGUCGUACCCUCCACCAUAGCCUCUGUCGUACCCACCUCUUCCAUACUUGGCAUCCUCUACGCCAUUGGUUUCCACUGUGACCUCUGCAAUGUUAUAUUUAAAAUUAAUCCUUAACUUUACGAAAAUGUUAUAUAAAAUCAAAAUCUGUAUAUAAAGAUGUUAAAUAAUGAGUAUAUAUAUUUUACAUGAGUUUUUUCUUAAUAUUCGUGUCUGUUCGGAGUUAGUUUAUGUGUACCUAAACUAAGUUUACCGAACAAAUUUGGAUGUGAAAGGAACAAGCACAAAGAAUAUUAAAUCAUCAAUAGAAGACUACUAUGCAUUCAACUUCUUAGAUGACUUAAAAUUUAUUAUAACAUAAAACUCACCGUUGUCAGUCUUGGAGGAGGUCUCCGCAAGGUCCCUUGCAGCCACUUCAGAGGAGAGGAGAAGAACGAAGGCGAGAAGAAGGCCAAGGAAAACAAAGGCUUUGGAACUCAUAUUUGUGUGUAUUGUAAGAGAUUGGUUUUGGGGGAGAGGGAUGAGAAAGAUUUGCAUUCUUAUGGAGGUAUUUAUAGGUCCAUAAAAGGGAAAGUGAGAUGAGAAUUGAGACAAUGGCAAUGGCAAUUAAAGACUGGCCCAUAAUUUGGUUGGGUGUUAGAUGAACUGAUUGAGAAGUAUUUUGAAAUGAAGAAGAAAAUUUGAGUCAGCUCUCUUCAAAAAUCUUUAUCUUUUAAAUGAUUUGUAAUCAGUCAAACUCUUUAGUAGUGUGACUGUAUCAAACUCCAAGAGCUUCUUCUAUCCAAUUAUCAAUAAUAAUAAUAUAAUUAUGGAAAAACAAUUUGUAGCAUGCUUUCAUUUUCUAUUUCCUAAACUUGGUAAACAAAGUUAUUUGUCUUAAAAAUUAAAACUAAUAUUUUUCAUAAAUUACUUACCAAAAUCUAUCAAGUAAAUACUGUAGGUUAGUUAUUUAGGGUUCAUUUUUUUCACCUUGUGUUUUUUCUUAAAAAAAUUGAUGUUUAAUUAGAUUUUUUUUUCUAUUAAUGAUUGAUUUGUUUUGGUAUAUCAUUUUCGAUCCAAUAUAACAAAAUGAACAAAAUAUGUGACAUUUUUUAAAAUAAAAAAUAAAUUAAAAUAUUUACAAAGUAUAACAAAAUUUUAAAUUCUAUCAAUGAUAGAAACUGAUAUGCUACUAUCACUGUCUAUCCAUCUCACUAAUAGAAACAUGUUAAUGUCUAUCAAUGUCUAUUAUUGAUAAAAUAUGAAAAUCGUACUAUUUGUUGUAAAUAUUUUGUCAAAUUUACUAUUUUUUACCAUUCUCUCUUAAAAAAAUAUUUAUAAAUACAGUAAAUUUCAAAAUCUAUCAAAGAAAUUGGUAGAAAUAUUUAUAUAGUAUAUGUGAUAUAAAUAAACACUAAUAUGAUUGAAGUUUUUUGUGUCUACUAAUAUCUAUAUUUUUUAUAUUUCUAAAUUUGGCUAUAUUUAUAAAUAUUUUCAAGAAUUUUAGUUUAUACAUUUUCAAAUGGUUUAUCUUAUAUAAAAUUUGAAUAGACAAACAUAAAAUAAAGCACAGCACAAUAAAGAAAACGUUAUUGAAUAGCUUCCACUGAACCCAAUUUGCAAAUAUCAUUGAUAUUUGUAAUAUUCUUUUAAUGCUAUGUUUUCUUACAAGAUAACGAGAGGAUAUUUUUAUAUUUAUGUGAAACUCAUCAACUUAUAUGAAAAUGUCAAAACAACAUUUAUUUAUUUCAUACUCUUCAACUUGGUGUCUGUCAUUCUUUAAAUAGAAUUUUCAAAGCUCAUAAAAAUCUCUCGAAAUUUGAGAAGAUAUCAACGCCCUUACGGAUCAUUGGACAAGCAUAUCUCCUCUCUUCAAAAAUUAUUUUGAUAGCUCUAUUGCUCUAAGUAUUUAUGCUUUUGUUUAAUUGUACUGACUUUGGGUCUUUCUUGGACUUUCCUCUAACCCUUGCUUUUGUUUUCCCUUCUUUCCAUAUUAUCUAUUAUAUAUUAAUGAAGCAUGAAUGAUGAUGAUGCUACGAAGGUACUGUUCACAUAGUGGAGAUGAUGAGAUGUCUUAGUGCAUCUAUUGACCUAUCUCGUAUCUUUUUUAAAAAAAAAAAAACAUUUAUAUAUUUCGUAUACUAUAAUUUUGCAAUAAAUUUAAGAGACCUUUAUAAAACUAACUCCCAAACUAUGCGGGGUAGUGAUAGUUGUGAAACCUAUUUCUAAUUUGAGUAUAGAAAGUAAAAUUUGGUUAAGUAUUUUGAAAAUUUGUAUUUUGGAUAAGAGGAGACAUUUUGAAAUAAGACUUUGCGAUAAGAAGUAUGUGUUUGAAUCAAUCCACAGAAAUGAUUAAGUGAUAAAAUCUUUUAUGGUUAAGUAUAAGUUUUGUUAUUAAGAAGUUAAUUCACGAGGGAGUUUUGAGAAAAGAAUGAUUUGCAAUAGGACCUAUAAACACUUUCAAUAGAAAGAGUCUUCACGAGAAAAUGUUGAAGUUAUUCGUAGAAUGGAAAUAGGCGAGAAGUAAGGUCUGGCAAAGAAAACGUCUAUCUGAUUUGACAGGGGUUAAUGUGUAAGAUUAAAGGUUUAAGCAUGACUGAGUUAAAUAUUAAAUUUACAUGUGUAAAGUUUUAAUCAGGAACCAGCGAACUUAAAAGAGUUUAAGCAUGACUAAGUUAGUUUAAGAGCUAUGUAAAUAAAGGACCUAGUCAUUAAGUAAGCACAUAGAUUUUAUUAAAAAAAAAUUACUAAAAUGUUGUUGUUUUGCUUGACGAGAAAAAGAAAAAAAAAAACAAAGUGUUAAGUGCUACGAUGUGUUUCACAAGAAGGCUCCACAAAAGAAAAGGAAGAGAAGGAUUUUUGAUAAAGUGUGGGAAUGUUUUCUCUUAAAUGAAUUAAUUAUGUUAAAAAAUUUAUUAUAAUUUCUCUUUACUUAUUUAAAAGAAGAAUUCCAAUGAUAAGUGUUUCAAAUGAAAUUUAUAUCAAAAGUCUAUAUGUUUUCAAGUAUGAUUUAUAAUGUUAAAGUUGUUUUCUUGAGAUGAUGCUAACUUUUAUGUGCACAUAAAGAGUCAAGGUUACUAUGGGGUGUACAAGGCUACAUGGUGAUAAGAAGCUGGUUUAUGCUUUGAAAUGAGCGUAUAAAGCUUAGUUGGCCUGAGCAACAAGGACAAUCUGUAUGUUUUCGGAUGUUGUUGAUACAACAGUCUAAAUGUAGGGUAAUGAGACCAAACGUAGAAAACGAUUCGAGAUCCUUGAUGAAAAGUAUAAUUGACUAAUGGGUGUUAUUGUGAAAUGAAUCUUGAUGUGAUUCACAAGUUGAACUAAUUUUAUUGUAAAAAUGAUUAUAUACGUUUUGAUAUGUUUUGCCAAAUGAAGUGUUUAUUGAUAAACUGAUUUGUGUUGAAAUUUAUGAUUUGACGAAAAACAUUUUCAAAGAGCAUUGCAAAAAGGAUUUCAUUAAAACCUCACUAAAUCUUUUAAACUUGCAUUUUAAAUUUUAUCUUCCAAGAUUUAGCAUUUAGGCCAAUUAAAGAAGAAGGUUGAAGGGCUUGCGGCAAGUUGAGAAAGCCACGAGGCGUUAAAGAGCUUUGAUCGAUAAAUGUUAAUUAUUUGAUCAAAAUGUUGUAAUUGUUUGUUCAUACCAAACGCCUGUUAUUAAUAUAUUAAAGUGUGUGUUUCAGGUUAUGUUACUUAUUGUACUUGGCAUUUAAAGUUGAUUUUCGCUACGUUUUGAGUUUCACUUCAUAGUUUGAAAGGAGUUGAGAAUAAGCUAGGCAGUAAGACUAAUUGUAAAGUUUAAUUAAAGUUAAAUCUUGUAAAGUUUAAAGUUAAAUCAUGUAAAGUUUAAAGUUAAAUCACGUCCUAUCCGCACAACUUCCUGCAAUUUUGUUGUCGGAACAGAGUGUGACAAUAGCGAUGCACCUAAACUAAAUUUACUAUUUUGGUUGUUACAGUGGUCGAUAUGAAUAUAGAUCAAUGGAAAGAAGAAUAUCAACAUCCUCUCUAAAACUUAAAUAUAUUAAUCUAAAAUUUUCAUUUUUAUGUUAAAUUGAGAAGAAGAAGAAAAAAAAAAGAAACGAAAGCAAAAGUAUUAGGUAAUAAAAAUAUUUUGAAGAUGAAAAAAAUUUGAAGUACUCUUGAAAGCAUGAAUAAAUAAAAUUUGGUUCCACUUGUAUUGUUGAAUAUCCUCUUGUUCCUUUCCAACCAAAUGUUCCAGAUAACCCCAUCAACAGACUGUAAUUGUUGAUUUCAUAACACACAAACUUGAAAUCAACAAUUAAGUAAUAGAAGACCGUAAAGAUCGACACACAGAUAAAACAUGGUUCACUAACAGUGUAUUAGCAACUACAUCCACAAACAAAGGAAGAAAAAAUAUGGUUAGGAGAGAGUGUUUUCUAAUACAAAUGUAGCUGGAUAGAGUGCAUCCAAUGAAAUUCUCAUUGUUUUGGUUGCAGACCGAGCACGCCAACUUGGAUUAAGGCAGUGAUUUGGGAGGCUAUUUAGCAGAAUAAUCUCCACAGUGUUUCCCGGGUAGAAUUUAGCAUAAGAAAAAAUUUCACUUCUUAAUUAGAAUGGGAGAUUUUUACAAAUUAUUAAAGAUUGUCAGGACUAAGAUUUUCUAUCUUUGGAAGAUCAUUUCCUCUUUCCUCGUUAGGCUUAGGGAAAGAUGCUUUGACAUUAUCCCAUAUGCUAAUGUCCCUAUCCCGGAGGGGUCCUCUAGGCUUAAUAUCCCAACCAAUCUUUAAUCGAGCUAUUUGCGCCAAGGGAUGAAGCAAAAAGCUUGGGGAAGCCAAAGGAGAGAGGACCGUGUUGGUUCAAUUUUUUAUGCCAAAAAAGAAAGAGAAAGAAGAGAGCAAGAUGAUUAUACUAAAAAAGAAUUGCCACAGUUUCUAUUUUAAUUAUUAUCCCUGCAUAACUCUUUCACAUAUAUAUUUAUAUCCAUAGGUUGUACACAAGUGAAACUAUCCUCAAAUUUAUAUGCUAUUUAUAUAAUAUAUAUAUAUAAAACUAUAAUAGUAUACUAUAGUCAUGUAGUUCAAACUUCGUUUAUUACCUUUUUAUUUUAAAAAUAUUUUAUUAAUAGUAAAGUUCCUGUGAACAUAAAUUUCUCCAUCAUCUGCUCCUACUUGUAUAUAUCAUCUUUAAUUAAUUAUCAUUUAGUGUCCACAUGUACAGUUUAAUUCCCAAAUAGUGUUCAACAAAACGAAGUAUUAGAAAUUUUCACUUUAUUUUUCUCAUUCAUAACUCCUAAUAAGUAGAUAGGUCCACAUGUUUCAUGUUACAUCUAUUUAUUUUAAUGCGUAUUAAUUUUUGGUGGUGAAAUUCAAACUUUUAAUUAAAUUAAUUAUCUCAGUCAUGUUUAUUUACUAUAAAUAUCACUAUAAAGAUCAAUUGAGCUAAGCAUGCUUAAUAAAGUUUAAAAAAUUACUCUUCUAUACACGUGUGGCAAUAAAGAUAACAAAAUAUCACUAAAUGUAAAUAAAUGUUUGGCAAGUUUUAUUAUUUUUAUAACUUCUUUAGAAAUAUUCAAUCGAUAUGGAUAUGAUAUUGAUUUUUGUUUUAUAAAUUCGUGAAAUUGAGAAAUAUAAGCAUUUUCAUCAACAUUCGCAUCCUAGACAUUACUCCUAUAUGACUAAUGAAUUUGAACUAGCGAAACUAAUUCAUAAAACUAAAUGAACAAAUUUUAAAAAAUUUUAUUUAAAAUAACAAAUAUGAUAGAACGUAUAAUAUUUACAAAUGUAACGACAAAAUUUUACUUUCAGAUCGUGAAGGUUGUGGUAAACCUGAUAGACAUCAUAUAUUAUUUUAGGCGUUAUAUUGUAUUGAUAAUAAAAGUAAAAUUUUAUUCUAUUUAUAAAUAUUUAUAAUAAUUUUUUAUAUUCAAAACAAUUCAAAAAAUUAAGUUGGCCUAAAAUUUCUAUUUUCAAUAUUUAUGGCCAUAACAGUUAUUUAAGUGAUCGGACUCCAUGAGUUCGUAAAAUUUAAAUGAGUUAGGCAAACAAGUAUUAAUUUGUAAUUUAUUUCUUUUUCUUAAUUGCAUUUUCUUGUUUUUGACAUGUUUAUUUAUUUUUAAUCUAAGUUGAAUGAUAUGGUAUUAAAUUUGUCUUUCAUCCGUUAAUUUUUCUUCUUUUCUUAACAUACCUUCCAGUUAUUGUCGCUCCAAUCAUCCUCAUCUUUGUCUCCGUCCCUAGGCCCAGGCAUCUCCCUCAAUGCAUCCUCUAUCACAAAUAGGUUCCAAAAUAAUUACAGUCUAAGAAAAGUUCAUAGAGUAACAACAAUUUCUCUCUCAAACAUUAAACCAAUAUAUAUAUAUAUAUAUAUAUACUAGAAAGAACACGUGUUUUGUACGUGAAAAGUGUAAUUUUAAAUCUUAAAUUUAAUUUUAGUGUCACAAGUUAAAAACUAAUUAUAAACAAUAUCUUUAGUUUAUAUAUAUAUAUAUGCUAUUAUUAAAUUCAAAUCUACCAAUAAUAAGGUGACCAGAUUGGACAAUUAGAUCUUAACCAGAGAAUAUAAAGGACCUAUAUAACAAUAUAAGUUUAUGAAAUAUACAACUAUAUAACUACAAAAUAUUAUAUAAACAAGGAGAGAAAAUUAGUGAGCAACCAUAAUAUAACAUGUACUUUUUUUUCAUUGAAAAUAAAUUAAAAAAUAAGAAAAUAAAAAGAGAUCAAAUGAUGGAUAAAGAAGUCUCUCCAAUCCAAAAUAUAAUGCUAAAAGACGACCAAAAUUUAAUUAAUAGAUUAUAGAUACAUAAAUGAAAUAAAAUUAUAGUGCAUAGUAAGUAUUGUAGAAAUAUUGCUUAUUCGAGACAUAGUUGACAUCGUUGGAGGCCUCCUUGGAUUCUCUAUACAUUUGUUGAAAAACACAGAAAUUCUCCUUGUUUUACACCAAAUAAUUAUUCUCCUAUACGUGGAUUUAUUUGAUUGCUCACAAUUUCAUUAGAUUUUAUUUUAUAUAAAAAUACACAGAAAGAAAAUGAUUGGGAACGUGAACAUGAGUCACAAAGAAGAUGAGAGAGAAUGUGUGAGUGAUAGAAGGGAAGAAGAAAAUUUUAUAUAGCUUUAAAAUUGAGCUAAUGAAUAAUAAUAAUAAUAAUAAUAAUAAUAACAACAACGACAAUUAUUAUUACUAUUAUUGCAUAGAAUAGGAGAGACCAUGAAAUAUAGAUAAAUUUAUUUAGUUGUGGUUGCCAUUUUGAGUACCACCGUAAACUUUGGAUAUUGCAGGCAAGGUGGUUAAUAGAAUUAAGAUUUUAUUAUAUGUAGGUAAAUAUUUUCACCGAUUUUAAUAUUUAGAUGUUUUCUUUUAUUAUUAUUAUUAUUUAGUAUGAGUGAUCAUGUGAGUUUUUUUCUUUCUUUCUUUUUUCUAACGAAAUAUAUUGAAGAUUUUAACUAAAGAUGAAAGAAUGUGUGUAUACUAAAAAUAAGUGAGACGAUCAAUAAUAUCUGAAAGUAAUUAACUGAGAGAAUAGCUAAAGAAACAGACAAAACAAAUAAUACAGAAGACUUUGUUAGCCUAAUUUGACGAAUACCACCUAUAUCUGGAAGCUUCUUAGCUCAUAUAAGAAAUAUUAUUAUAUAAGAUUUAAAUGAGCAAGGAAAACACUUUUAAGUUAUUACAAAAACUUAAUUAAAGACCGACUUUCAUUGAAUUUGUGUUUGAAUCUUUUUGAAGAUAAACUCAAACUCCCUUGAAUUCAUUCACCACAGUUCAACUAUUUCAGUCUUCUUUCAUAUUUCUUAUCAACAGGUGCAGCGUAAAAACCACUUGCAGAACUUCAAUAAUAUUCCAUCUUCAUAUAAAGAAUGCAAUUCGACAACCUUCACAAACAAUAAUUUGAUCUUCGAAAGAGAACUUCUUUGAAAUCAAUUUUCUAUCAAUUUGCACGUCGAACUAAGCCAAUAUAGUUUAAUUAUUUAAAGAUCGAUAUAAUAUAUUUCCGGUAACUUCUUUAUGGAGAGAUAUAGAUAAAAGAUUCAUGUUAGGAAAGAAAAAUAUUUUAUCUUUAAAUAAUAUCCUAAUCUUUAAAUAAGGAAGUUAAUAAUAAAAAGAAAUUUAUUGGUGUUGUUGACAAAAAUAUCAACAUAUACGUUAACUAUUAAAAUUUAUGUUCAAGUUAUGGAAAUAAAAGCGUUAAUUACAGGAAAUGAAAAUAUGUUUGGUGAUAUUAUAAAAUUAAAAUUUGCAAAAGCAAAUGUUUGAAAUAACAUACUAAAACAAACCCAAACAUGGGGAAAAGAAAAACUACAGAACCCACUCCUUCCAUUCCCCAUCUAUUUAUUUCUCAAACUUCUACCGUUCACACAUUUAACCAAACACACAAACUUUAAACCUUUUUAUUAUUUCAUCCCAUUCUACACCUUCUCUUAGGGUUUUGCACCCUCUACCACUUCACCAGCGUAGCUGCAGCACUUGUGCCCACAUCGACCAUAUCGGCAACCUCUGCCGUAGCCACCACGGCCACCACCAUAGCCUCCACGGCCACCGUAAUGACCACGACCAUACCCACCACGACCACCGCCAUAGCCUCUGUCGUGCCCUCCGCCAUAG